GGUCCUGCCUCCUUGAGGCUGAAGCUGCCAAAGGUGGAAGCUAGGUCUGUCCCACCUUCCUGGGGGCUCUGCUGGGGAAGGAGCCAGGCCAUCCCAUUUCAUAAGGGCCUGGCCAACUCCUCUGCUGGCUAAAGGGUUCGCAUGCCCCAUUCCUGAAGGCUUCGUUAGAGCUGGUACUGGAUGAGGAGACUGAGGUUCACAGAGGGGCAAUGACAUGCUUAAAUUUGCUCAGCAAGUCCGUGCUAAGUCAAGCAUUACUUCCAGGUGUCCUGAUUUAAGUCCACAAGAGUAAGCGUUGGGGCGCUAGUGAGAGGCAGCCUGGUGGAGAGCAAGGCCACAGACACCGAGUUUAUGUGCCCAUCCUGGCUCUGAACAGCUGCGCGACUGUGGGAAGGUAACUCAGCAUCUCUGAAACUCAGUGUCCUCGGCUUGGAAACGGGCAUCCUGGGAGCAAAACUGCAUGGUUACCAGGAUGAAAGGGGCGUAGACCAAAAGCCCGUGGCAGUGCUGAGGAUGUGGGUGAGUGAGUGAGGCUGGAGCUGAGGGCCAGGGACGCGAAGGAAGAAGGCUACAUCUGCAGAAGUCCCACUCUGUGGGCAGGGAGCCAAGCUUCAAGGCGAAGACUAAGAACUCAUGGGAAAGGUUCCCUUCCUGCCUCAGGGAUCUUGCAAACGCUGGUCCUUCUGCCCAGAACACUCUUUCUUUCCCUCUUGACUCAGUUUUUUCUCUUCUUCCUUCAGGUCUCAAGUCCCACCUCCUCUGGGAAGCCCUCCUUAACUUCCCCAAUCAGAUCAAAUCCCUUAAAUGUGGACUUACCCAGUGUUUCCCAUUUCCUCAUAGCAAACGGAUUUUAUAAUGCAAUAACGUUAAGUCAUAACUUUACCUUUGCGAGUCUUUGGUUAACGUCUGGCUCUGCUCCUGGACUGCAGGUUGGGGGAGGCCUGGGACCGUCCCUGGGGGUCGGGGAGGCGCUCCACCCUCUGCGAUGGAACCAGCGCCAGCUGAGCGUACUUGGAAAAAAGGCAGCGCACGAGACUUGGAGUCUGAUGGAUGAGGUUAAAUGAAACACGUGGGUUGCUUUAAAGGACGACGUACGGAAUACAGCACAGUUCGGAGGGCACGCGGGCGAGCAGAAACCGGAGCCGGCCGGGCGGGCGGCCGGGUGCGGGGCCGCGGAAGAGCACGAGGGGGCGCUCGGACCACGCCUGUCGCAGCCUGUCCCUGGACCAGCCGACAGCUGAAUCAGAGUCCUGGAGCUGGAGACUGAAGCCAGCGACCACCAGGGGGCAGCAGAGCCAAAGGCUUGGGCACAGCCCCGUCCCAAGGCCAUGGUCACGGCCGGGAGCGGAGAGGGGCAGCCGGGAGGGCCGAGGCAGGACCAGGCGGCGACCCUGUGCUUGCCAGGCUGCGCACGCCCAGCCGUUAAUUUGGAGCGGAGUGCUGCACCCUCUAUUUUGGGGUGUCCUGAGGGGGUCAGGAGCCUUGAGUGCCAGUCCUGUCUCUCUGCGUGGCCUUGGACGCCACCUCCCCAGGCCUCCUGGGGCUCGGUGUCCCCUCUGGGCAGGAAGCGGUGGAUUGGUGA
ensembl:lncRNA